UCGCCUUCCUAGGUUGCUCGCUCUAAUUAUAGCUAGCGCAGCUGGUACAGUUCCCUUUGCUGCCGGCGCUGGAGAGUCAGUCAGGGAGGGGAACGGGAGCUCUCAGCCCAGCAAAGCACAGGCAGCUUCCGGGGCCUGCGGCUGCUCCUCCCCAUGCCCAGACUGCAUUGCUGCACGAUGAGCCAGCGCUUUGCUAUUGUUAUUGCACCACAGUCAAGGGCGCUGUGCACAGUGACUGUACAACUGCCUCACUCGGAAGGGGACUCCCUCCGCCUGGAUUCAUGUGUCAGGCACGUUUUAGUGUCUCCUGGCCUCUUUUGUGAUGGGAGGAGGUUUUGCGGGUUCUCUCGCGCUCUUUUUUUGUGAAUUGCAUCUCCCUGCUCCUCUCCUCUGCACGCCCCGCCUGCAAUAUAGCCUGGUGAGCUAGUGCUUUGCUAUUGCAACACGGGAGGAUGAAAUCCCAGCGUGGCCCUCACCCCCCUAGACUGCAAAAGGAUCAGGAUUCAGCCUCUUGCGCUGAGAGAGAACAACUGAUGGCGUGUGGCCACAGGAAUCACAGGAGGCGCCUCAGUGGGGAAGGUGAACUUGGUUGUGUAACUACUCGUACUGGGAGGGACUCAGCUUGUCUGUAGCAGAAGAGUGCCCUGAACAAGCCUUGAUCUCUGGCAAAGCACGUGACUAGACUGCAGCUCAAAAGCUCUGCCUGGGAAGUUAAUUACUCACGACAAAACCCCACUAAUGAAGUUUACACUUGCGAGCGUACUAAUAAGACGCCACUGAUUGCGGUGGAUACUGUACAACCACGGCACUGACUGCUACUGUAAUUUAAAAAAACCAAAUUGAAGGAUGUAACCAGUGCGAUGAUUAAACAAGGUACAGCCUCGCAUUACACCCUUAUUUCCCUCCCCUUCAAACAGACACCCAAACAAGACCUGAAAGUUAGGCAAGGCAGGGUUACAUUUUAGUACCUUGGAUUGUGCAAUGAAUCUGGGUCAAAGAGGCAUCAGGAACAAUUAACAGAAUUACCGAGAUGCUUACAGGGGAAAUCCAGGGUGGAUGAAGAACACCAGUGGGUAGGUCCAUGAUCAAAGGGCAGCUGCUUUCCUCUUCCCCCAUCUGUCUCUAAGCAGCUCACCUUUGUCUCCUAGGUCCUUUUGAGGCUCCUGCUGCUGCCUAUAGUAAAUAGAAAGGCUCCAAGCUGCCUCCAGGGCACAGCCUUUUUAUGCCAAGCCUAUGCACCCACCACUCCCAUCCACAUCCACUCUGCCUCUAAAGUAUUUGCUUCCAAUGCACAGCAGAAACUGGAAAUCAUGAAGGGAAGAGUAAAACCAUCAACAGCCUGCUUUUGAGGAACUGUGGAACCUCCCCCCUCAUAGAAGUCCUAUAAUACUGGUGCUAAAAGAUUUAAAUUUGAGAGGCAUAAGCCAUGUAAAGAGCAAAGAGCCAAAUGCUGUCUGGAGUAACUGGAGCAAUCUCAUUAAAGACCAUGGCAUCUUCUGUCUGUAAAUGAGAACAGAACCUAGCCCUGGGAUUUUAAACAGAAACUGUUAUCAGGGGAAGUAGCUGGGAUUCCUUCUAGGGCCCAGUUUUCCCAUGUCGGUGCAGCAAAUCCUCCCUAUUUUUUUCUGUUUGCCUUUGAUCCUGUCUUGUUCCACCACAUGUAUGAAAAUACUCACCACUGGGGACUUUGACUGUUCUACUGGGAUAAAUCUUCCCAAGCUAACUCAGGAAAAACUGUUCUUCAACUGCAGAGAGAGGAGUUAAGAUAGACAAUGCACAUCUAGACUAUCUAACCUCAGUUAUUGGAACAAUGGAUGUUGUAUUUUAUGUUCUCACUCCAGCCACGCAGACCUGCUUAUUCAAGUUUUGUAGAAGUUAUUUUCUGAAGUGUAUUUAGGAUCUUCUUAAAAUACGAGGGUUGCAUGCCCCCAUUUCUCUUCCUUUUAAAAAGCAAACAUUUUCAUAAAAUUUCAGCUCAACUUCAUUUGCAUGAAAAAGAUAUGAUUAACAGUUAAACUGUAGCCUUAAUGCUGAAUUGUACAGAGUGCAUCUCCCAAUAGUCCGAAAGGCAGUGAAUGAGUUAAUCCUGGCGCCCCAGCUCCAGAAAGCCUGGAAUGAUGAAAUGGGUAAAUAUGUAUUCCAUUCAUCUGUUAGCACAGCCUGACCUUGCUCUGUAACAGAGGAAAGGCGUGUCUUCUCAAUCUCUCCGACUGAACAAAAGGCAAGCAAAUGACUCAGACCUUCUAUAGUGUCCAUGUGAUUGAACAUUUUCUGAAUGAUCCCACUUCUAGUCUUAGGAAUCAGAAAGAGAAACCUUUUAUGCAUUACUAACCAAAUAAAAAUAAUAUAUAAAUGGUCCUGAGGCACUUUCUUUGGGGUCUGCCCCAUUGAUAAUAUGAAACAAGAAGUGUGAAAAAACAUCUUUGGCUUGUCUAUUAAUGUCAGUCUCUCUCUUUUUUUUUUUUUUAACUAAUCCAACAAACUCUGCUUUAAUUUAUGGUUAGAAUGAAUGUAAUAGUAAAAUGUAAUCAGGAAGAGUUUUAUUUAGAGCUGCUGUCACAGAUAAUGGAUAAGAAAAACUGCUUUUGCAACCUUCAGGUUGCAUCUUCUAAAAUAAACCCUUCAUCCUGAAUGCCCAGCACUCCAUUUACCACUCCUUACUCUGGCUAAACUUUGACAGAAGUAACAAGUUUUAUCUUUAAGUGCAGGAUUUAGGACCCUAAAUGUAAAUAUUUGACACAAUCAAAAGAUUUACUUUUAAAAGUGGUUAAUUUCUGAAGUAUCAAGGGAUUCCUUCCACUUUUUUUAUUUUAAUAAGGACACUUUAUUUACAUUCUUCCAUGGUAGCUUACAUUUUACUGCACAACACUGCAAGUGUUACUACAGAAUAUGCUACAAGCCCCUUAACUAUUGCUGCAAUCCAUGGCCUGAUUAAAAUGCCAAGUGAUAGUUAAUAUAGUGUUUGCCAUCCUCAUGGUCUGGACUUUUUACAAAAAGGAUUCCAACCAACCAACCAACAAUAAAGACAAAUGGCCAGUCCUGCUCUCCUUCCUGGCAACAGAAGUUCCACUGAAAUCAGUGGGACAUUGUUGUUAUCCCUGUAAGCAGGGCAAGUGGGAUUUGGCCCAAGUGCAGAAGGAAAGGAUCCAGGGGUUCUGUUGACAUAAUAAACCACUAGAGAGCACACUCAAAUGUAUUUAUACCCUUUUCAUAAGUGCUAGUUCAUAAAACACAUGGUUGCCAGGGCCUGGUUUACAGCAUGUCUCUUUAAAAAGAAAACAGCUCCAAAAACAUUCCAGGUUUUCUGAGGCCACCACAAAGGCCACUUAGUCUCCCUUAUGCCAUGUUACUUUCCCACCCACUAGGGGCCCUGAUGGACGAUACUGCACCAUAAUGUAAAAACCAAGGAUAAAAAGAGAGGGCUUUUGCCCUCUACUCUUCUUGGAGGGAGGAAUUUCGUUUUCUCGACUAUUCGUUCUGCCCUGUCCAUGUUUCAGCUCUCUUGUCCCUACUUUUUACUGCCCUAUAUGCGACUAAGGACAAAAAGCCAUAUUUUUAAAAAAUCCUGUUGAUUUUGCCACUACAUCAUUGCACUUCAGUGCCUGUAGCCUUUCGUUUUAUUUACAUUUUUUUAAUAAAAAAAAAAACCACUCACAGGAAGUGCAUAAAGCUCCUAAUAUUUUAUUUAAUGCCAAAGAUAAAAAAUAGGUAAAAAUAGUAAUGUGUUAGUUUAGCAAUUAUAAACAACCAAAGCAUAGUGCAGGUGAUAUUCCAGUAAAAAGUAAAACCUUUAAAAAGAGUAAUUAAAGUGAGAUUUGAGAAUCACACAUUCUUCAUUAAAACACUUUACUUUAUUACUACACAAACUAUCACCUUUUAAAAAGUUUUAAAAUAUUAACAGAAGCACUGUUGCAGCUAAAGCACUUUAAAAAAAAAAACUUUGUAGCCAAGGAAACAGUAAAUUGGUUUAGUGAAUAAAGUGAUCGUGAUGUCAUAACUCACCAAGCAACAAAAUAAGACACACUUAGUUCAACUGAAAUUUGAGAAAUGCCAAAAAAAAUUAAAAAAAAAAGAAGCGCAUACUGGUUUCAAGCACUUUUGUAAUAAUGAAAUGUCAUUAUGUAUAUUAGAAUCAAUUGAGAUAUCGGGACUAGAAGUCAGAGCAGGUAUAGUAACUUUUUGACAUUUCUUUUCUACCUGUGUUGUCUAUGUACCAUCACCUAGUACAACAACAAGGCCUGAGAAUUCCCACCCUUUGAACUACUUUAAAGAACAGGUCCAAAGAUACUGAUGGGCUGCAACAUAUUGGCACACUUCCUCCAGAUAAAAGGUUAAGUGAAAGGCCUCCUUGGAGAGCAACACAAAUGCCAGUCAGACCAGGAAGCAGGAUAUGUUUGAGUAGCGGGAAAAGUUACCUUCCCACCUCACCUCAAGGUGCUCAAAGCUGAACAGUUGGCCAACACAGCAGAGCAAUCCUUUCAUGCAGUUUUUAGUAGGGAUAUCACUUUAUCAAAAACAUAUACACUUCCAUACUAUGCGUUAUUAUGCCAAACAACUCUGAAGAACUUGUUACCAUCUAUCAGCUUGAAAUCCAUUUUUUAAUAAAGUGCUAAAUACACAUUUACAGAGACCAUAGUGUUCCAAAGUAUCCUUUACAGUUGUAUAUAUGUGCGUUUUUUCCAACUUGUCUGCAUGUUUACAUAAGACACCAAUCUGAACUAUAGGUAUAAUUUUAAAGCGUAAUAUUGACUCAAUGAAUUGGUUUACCAUGCAAGUCUGUAUUUAAUAUUACAUUGACCUGUAAUAAGGAACAUAAUGUUAGUUGUGUGCUCAUUGAAACACUUAAUAAAAAAUGACUGUGCAUGUGCAGUUCUGAACUUUAAAUAUGAAUAAUGAUCAUUUAAAAAAAAUCUUCCAAAAAAGUUCUACUCUGCAUUAAAUAGCAGCCUGAAUAUUAUCAUAACACUUGAUUAAAAAGCAUCCCAAACUGUUAAAGUUAGUUGAACAGAUUUUUUUCCCCCUAAAAAAAUUGAAAAAUGUAUAUUAUUUGCCCCAAGGAUGAGAACUUGUAGUCAUGUUUCUGCUCCGAACAAUUGUUUAUGACCAAGUUAAACACACCUAAACAUCAGGGGUUUUGCAGUGUUGCUAAUGAACUAAACAGCACAAAAACCAUCACUAUAAGACUUAGCCAUUUCUAAUAAUGAUUUAUUUUAAAAAGUCUGCUUGCUGAUUGAUGCAGAGGCUGGAUCAAAAGAAGUGACUUUACAAAGAGUACUCCAAAGUAGUUAAAAAGACGGGGCAUGCCCCUUUUGUGAAACCCUAAUUGCUUUCAUUCCACCAGUUUAUUUUUUCAUUUUCAAAAAAGUAGUAUUAGGUUUGUUUAAAAAAAACCCACAUAAUAGAGAUUACAAGUUUCUUCCACCCACAUUUGGGUUGUCACUGAUAUGCCCAAAGGCAAUCCUGGCAGCAUCUCAGUUGCUUCUGUCAUUGUACCAUCUUGUACCUGCCACUACCUGGAAAUAUGAUGUAAGAGAUAGUUAAUAAUACCAACAGUACUAUAAGUAACUGAUAAGCAAACUCAAAGUUCACCUGCACUAUGUGCAAAUUAAAAAAAAAAAAAAAACUUUAGUUUUCCCCAAGCAUAAAUAUUAUGUGAGUGGCACUAAAAGAGCUAUGGAUCUUUAAAGAUGGCAGUGCUAUACUGGUGUAUACACCAAUAUAGUAAUUAAGUUUAUUACCAAAAUUCUGCAUUAACAUUAUGUAAUCAAUGAAUAAAUGCAGUUCUGUAAUCUUACAACCAAUCACUUGAACUGUGGUCAACUUUUCCUUUUAGAAAAAAAAAAAAGCAAACAACCCAGAAAUCCCUAACUCAGCAGCGCCUCUCAGACAUCUCUCAACAUCCUACUAUGAAGGCAACUUCCUUCUAGAAACAGUGGAAUUGGACUCAGUCUAAAAAAUUUGCCAUUGCAACAAGAGAACAAUGUUUCAGAAAGAAACCACUUGUGCUUUCUAAUAUUCACCUGCCUUUCGGCUGUAAUGGUGACAUCCCAUUUCACCCUAUCAAUCUCUUUUCCCCCACUACCAUUUCAUAUCAAAUCUGCACGCAUCCAGCUUGACUCUGAGCAAGGCCCAAGAAUAAGGAAUCACAGACAGUAAGGCGAUCUUUACAAUGUCAGAAAAUGUAUUUGGCAUUUUAAAAAGAAACAAGUGCAUACAAAUACAGCUAGAAGCAUUUCUGGUUUGCCAAGUGCUCUCUAAAAAAAGCAGCGCAAGUCACAGCCUACAUUGAACAGUAACUGUCACCAAGGAAGCACAACAAAUAGUUGCUAUAACAAAAAGAGGAAAUGCCUUUAAGUACAUACCUUUUG